UCUCUCUAUUCCCUAUUGGCCUCACUCCCUUUCUUAUACAGCCCAGACUUUAUCCUUAUUUCAAAUAUUAUCUCGAUGGUACCUAUAACCCUCCUGCCUCUCUGCACUUAAGUCUUACCUGGAAAACACCCAAACAUGAACUUGAUUUCUACUGUCACUCCAUCCAAGCAGAUGAAUCCUAAAAUAUGAAGCUGAUUUAUUUCAAAACAAAAGAAGUAACAUUAAAUUAAAAACUUCUUAUAAGUACCCCUGGAGGAAAAGGACUGAGGCACAGUGUCCAGAGCAAGACCAAAUCUACAGCCAUUAGUUUCCAUCCUGGAAACAAGGUUCAGACUGGACUCAGGAGUUCACAUAAACCCUAAAAGGAUGGGUUUGUUCUACUCAGGAAUUCUCAUGUUCUGAAGAACUGAAGAGUGGGGUCAAAUAAUCCCCUCUCACUUAAAAGCUAUUGGAAGGAAAAAAAAAUUAAGGAAAAGGAGAAUGGAAAAUUAUUAAUUGAAUGAGACAUAAAUGUUUUUUUUUUUCUUCUGGAGGAUUCAAAAGACUAAAUCACAAGUGAUAUAUGAGUAGAUAAAUAAAUUUAGACAGUGGGACAAGGGAGGGAUUUUUAAACAUUGAUAAAUCUGGAAUUUUUCCAUUUUUGAUUUUUUUAGAACUCUAAAAUUAUAAUUGAGCUAUCCUUUGUUAUUAUUCUUAUAGGAAAACUUUAUUCUUUAAAUUCUUUAUGAAGAAGAAAUGCUUAUUCAUCUUUAAUAGAAUUU